CUGACGGUUUUAUGAGGGGCUUUUCCCUCUUUUGCUCAGCAUUUCUCCUUGCUGCCGCCAGGUGAAGAAGGACGUGUUUGCUUCCCUUUCUGCCAUGAAUGUUUCCUGAGGCCUCUCCAGCCCUGUGGAAAUGAAAUGAUUAUUAUUCUUCAAGAAGAAAUCCACUAACAGCAUCCUUUUCAGGAAUGAAGAUCUGAAAAGGAAGAGAUUAUCUCCUCUUUAAUGCUGUAUCCCAAAGCCUAGAAGAACCAGAGACUUACUAGCUAAUCAAUAAAUAUUGCUGAGUAAAUAAAUGACAGACAUUUGCAUGCAGGCCUCAAGGAGCAGCUGAAGUGAUAGAGGUAGAAUGAGGCAAUAAAUUAUUAGCAAAGAGAGCGGAGUAUUUACAGGCAGCGAUAUACUAAUGAACCUAAAAAUUUGGAGAAUAUUUGGAAAAAUAAAAGAGCUUGCAUCCCUGGAAUGCAACGAAAAGAAAAGUGCUCAAAAAGUGAUAAUAUACACAGUGUCAAUUUGUUCACUGCUUUUUUGGAAUGUUUGAAAUUUAUUGUAAGUAGAUCAUUUAUCCAUUAGAGUGACUAAGUGUUUUAAGAGUAUAGUUCUAUAAUCCCAUUCAAUUAGCUUUUAUUUAAUGGGUUCCUUCUGGUGGUGGACAUUUGAGUUGUUUACAGUUAUUAAGAAUAAAACUACUAUAAACA
rnacentral:lncRNA from 10 species